rnacentral:rRNA from 1 species
GUGGGGAAUUUUGGACAAUGGGGGAAACCCUGAUCCAGCCAUGCCGCGUGCGGGAAGAAGGCCUUCGGGUUGUAAACCGCUUUUGUCAGGGAAGAAACGCUUCGGAAUAAUACUCUGGAGUAAUGACGGUACCUGAAGAAUAAGCACCGGCUAACUACGUGCCAGCAGCCGCGGUAAUACGUAGGGUGCAAGCGUUAAUCGGAAUUACUGGGCGUAAAGCGUGCGCAGGCGGCCAGGCAAGACAGAUGUGAAAUCCCCGGGCUCAACCUGGGAACUGCAUUUGUGACUGCAUGGCUAGAGUACGGCAGAGGGGGAUGGAAUUCCGCGUGUAGCAGUGAAAUGCGUAGAUAUGCGGAGGAACACCGAUGGCGAAGGCAAUCCCCUGGGCCUGUACUGACGCUCAUGCACGAAAGCGUGGGGAGCAAACAGG